rnacentral:rRNA from 1 species
GACGAACGCUGGCGGCGUGCUUAACACAUGCAAGUCGAACGGUUAUGCUCCAGCUUGCUGGAGUGGAUCAGUGGCGAACGGGUGAGUAACACGUGAGCAACCUGCCCCGGACUCUGGAAUAAGCGCUGGAAACGGCGUCUAAUACUGGAUACGAAACUGGCCCGCAUGGGCAUGGUUUGGAAAGUUUUUCGGUUUGGGAUGGGCUCGCGGCCUAUCAGCUUGUUGGUGAGGUAAUGGCUCACCAAGGCGACGACGGGUAGCCGGCCUGAGAGGGCGACCGGCCACACUGGGACUGAGACACGGCCCAGACUCCUACGGGAGGCAGCAGUGGGGAAUAUUGCACAAUGGGCGAAAGCCUGAUGCAGAGACGCCGCGUGAGGGAUGAAGGCCUUCGGGUUGUAAACCUCUUUCAGCAGGGAAGAAGCGAAAGUGACGGUACCUGCAGAAGAAGCACCGGCUAACUACGUG